UACGUAGGGGGCAAGCGUUAUCCGGAUUUACUGGGUGUAAAGGGGGCGCAGACGGCGAUGCAAGCCAGGAGUGAAAGCCCGGGGCCCAACCCCGGGACUGCUCUUGGAACUGCGUGGCUGGAGUGCAGGAGGGGCAGGCGGAAUUCCUGGUGUAGCGGUGAAAUGCGUAGAUAUCAGGAGGAAUACCGGUGGCGAAGGCGGCCUGCUGGACUGCAACUGACGUUGAGGCCCGAAAGCGUGGGGAGCAAACAGG
rnacentral:rRNA from 1 species